GCUCAAGCACCACCAAGACCCUGUCCGCCAGAUAAUUACGAGCGAAAGCCUAAAACUCAAAAGACUUGACGGUGUCCCAACCUUCCUAGAGGAGCCUGUUCCAUAAUCGACAACCCCCGAUAUACCUAACCGCCUUUAGAACAUAUUCAGCCUAUAUACCGCCGUCAUUACCGCUUACCUUUAAAAGAACACAAGUAAGCCAAAUAGUAUUAUACUAAAAAGUCAGGUCAAGGUGUAGCUUAUAAGGCGGAGGAAAUGGGCUACAUUAUUUAAUCUAAAUCAUACGAAUUUAACCCCUGAAAAAGAUAAUAAAGGCGGAUUUAGCAGUAAUUUAAACAAGAAUAUUUAAAUUAACAUCAGCUCUGGGACAUGUACACA
rnacentral:rRNA from 1 species